CAGAAGUGUUCGUUUCAGAAACUCCCAGCCUGCAGGACUCAGGAGUCAUGGGGCUGGCAGGGCAUUAUCUCUAUGGCCUAAGCCACCAGACACAAUAGCUCAGGCCUGCUUGUUAGCUGACCUACAGGGACCAGCUAUGACUCAUCUAUUUACUGCAGAGCAAAGAUGCAGGUUGCAUAAAGUGUACGCAGAAGAGGUCAUGCCCCCAAGGACGUGAGGGAGCACAGACACAUGUAAGGAGCUAGAGUCCUCGGCAGCGGCUGUUGCUGGUCAUUCUCCGUACCAUUCUGCUGAGCAGCUUCCAGGCAGCUGUCGUCACUGUGAUAUCCAGUGUGGGUAUCUCAACCUGGUAAUCUCAGAAGAAGAUUACGAUAAUAUAAUACUAACAAGAACAUCAGCAUCAUUCUGUUUGGUUCUUGAUUUCUGUGUGAAGAGGCACAAGAGUUUUAGAUUUUUGAAAGCAGAGCACCUUUCAGAUUGCAUGAUUGUCUUUGGACAUGUAACAAAUGCACGUUUUUAGAGGAAGCCUAUGGUCAUCUGGGGUGUUUAAAAUGCUGGUGCCUAGACUCACUCUUCAAGGACUGUCAAUUGAUUCCUGGUUGGGGCCCAGGAAUGAGCCUUUUAACUCAGGCAACUUGAUGCAGCUUUGGUGGAUGCCCAUAUUUUUCAUCCUUACAACAGCCUGCAAGGUGAGGGAGGGGUUCUGUCUUCAUUGUUCAAGUGUGAAAAAUAGGGUCAGAGAGAACAAACAACCCACACAAAUUAAGAGCAAGGGCUUCAGCCUUCAACCUGUGUGGCUACUGAUCCCCACUCCUACCACAGGUGUGUUCUCCAGGGAAGUGUAAACAGGAAGGUCUCAUGGAAAGGAAAAGGAGCCCAGGAUAGCAGCACUCCACAGGGACCUGGGAACUGUGAGCAGGAAGUUUCAUCACCACCCCAAACAGCUGUGCAGGGUGGAGGUGACCUGAACGUUAGAGUUCCCCAAAGAGAGCAGCCCAAGUAAGAGACUACCAUGUUCCAGGGGUGGCAACAGACCAGACACUUGGCUGAAAGCUGAGCAGGGCAUGGGGCCAGCAGCUCCAUGCAGACUUGAUGGCCUUCUGGGCUGUCACACUGCUGCAAGGAGGCGGGUUUCCACCUGCAGUGUCUCCCUUUUCUCAAAAUCUGCACUAGCAUAGAUUUCCCAGGCCACAUCUAAGCCGUGCUUCUGAAAUAACUCCAGGUCACACAAGUGGGCACAUUGUGGCAGGUGAGACACCAUCCUGAGAGUCCUGGUACACCAACCAUGAGACAUAACUGCCUGAAAUAAAUGUUCC
rnacentral:lncRNA from 1 species